AAGUCUCUCUCUCUCUCUCUCUCUCUCUCCCUCCUUG
rnacentral:sRNA from 1 species